GAGAUGUGGGUUAGUCCGCACGAGCGCACCUCACUUUUAGUUGCCAUCAUUAAGUUGGGCACUCUGAAAGAACUGCCAGUGAUAAGCUGGAGGAAGGUGGGGAUGACGUCAAGUCCUCAUGGCCCCUACGUGUUGGGCUACACACGUGCUACAAUGGUAUCUACAACAGGAAGCAAGACUGCGAAGUUAAGCAAAUCCCUAAAAGAUACCUCAGUUCGGAUUGCACUCUGCAACUCGAGUGCAUGAAGCUGGAAUUACUAGUAAUCGUGGAUCAGCGUGCCACGGUGAAUGCGUUCCCGGGUCUUGUACACACCGCCCGUCACACCAUGGGAGUUGGUUCUACCUUAAGGCAAGGUUUCAAACCCUUGACCACGGUAUAGUCAGCGACUGGGGUGAAGUCGUAACAAGGUAGCCGUAGGGGAACCUGCGGCUGGAUUACCUCCUUUCU
rnacentral:rRNA from 1 species